UACGUAGGGUGCAAGCGUUGUCCGGAAUUAUUGGGCGUAAAGAGCUCGUAGGCGGUCUGUCGCGUCGGCUGUGAAAACCCGGAGCUCAACUCCGGGCCUGCAGUCGAUACGGGCAGACUGGAGUUCGGCAGGGGAGACUGGUAUUCCUGGUGUAGCGGUGAAAUGCGCAGAUAUCAGGAGGAACACCGGUGGCGAAGGCGGGUCUCUGGGCCGAUACUGACGCUGAGGAGCGAAAGCGUGGGGAGCGAACAGG
rnacentral:rRNA from 1 species